rnacentral:rRNA from 1 species
ACCCGCUGAACUUAAGCAUAUCAACAAGCGGAGGAAAAGAAACCAACAGGGAUUGCCCUAGUAACGGCGAGUGAAGCGGCAACAGCUCAAAUUUGAAAGCUGGCCUUCGGGUCCGCAUUGUAAUUUGCAGAGGAUGCUUUGGGGAAGCCGCCUGUCUAAGUUCCUUGGAACAGGACGUCAUAGAGGGUGAGAAUCCCGUAUGUGACAGGAAAUGGCACCCCAUGUAAAGCUCCUUCGACGAGUCGAGUUGUUUGGGAAUGCAGCUCUAAAUGGGAGGUAAAUUUCUUCUAAAGCUAAAUACCGGCGAGAGACCGAUAGCGCACAAGUAGAGUGAUCGAAAGAUGAAAAGCACUUUGGAAAGAGAGUUAAAAAGCACGUGAAAUUGUUGAAAGGGAAGCGCUUGCAAUCAGACUUGUCCCUGACUGUUCGGCCGGUCUUCUGACCGGUUUACUCAGUCUGGGACAGGCCAGCAUCGGUUUCGGCGGUCGGAUAAAGGCCCUGGGAAUGUGGCUCUGCCUUCGGGGAGAGUGUUAUAGCCCAGGGUGUAAUACGGCCAGCCGGGACCGAGGUCCGCGAUUCGUCUAGGAUGCUGGCGUAAUGGUUGU